CGAUAACCAUUUUUCUUUGAAAUACUAUUCUAUUGCAUCACUGCUCAAAAGCUUGAAAGGUCAAUGGCCACUUUCAGUUGAAGCAGGGGCUAAGGGGAAGUUGGGCGAGGAAGGGGGAGGAGGCGUGGGGGAGGCCGGCUCACAAACCUUGCCUGAUGUCCCCCCUGCUGGCCCUAGGAGGAAACGUAAACCAGCUUCCUGCCUUCCCGGACAGGCAGGAGUCAGGCAGGAAUGAUUCUCUCAAUAAUUUUCCUGCUUUUGAAGAGAGAAACAGAACACGAUCAGGGGAGAGGGGCAGAGAGAGAAAGAGAAAGAGAAAGAGAGAAUAUCAAGCAGGCUCUACACCCAGCACAGAACCUGAAGCGGGGCUCAAUCCCACAACCCUGGGAUCAUGACCUGAGCUGAAAUCAAGAGUUGGCUGCUCAACUGAGUCACCCAGGGGCCUCAGGGUCUUCCCUGCCUCCCUCCCCCGGCCCGCCACACUUCCACCCACCCAACACCAGAUACUCAACGCUCUCCCUGUUUCUGCUGUGGCUGCCACGGGAUUCCUGGAGUUGCAGGUGCGUCCUUCAUCAACCCUCCAUCCACGACUCACCCCCAACGCCUGGCUCGGCCCAGUAUUUAAGGUUCACCCAAAAGUCAAC